CCUAACCUAUGGACGGGAAUAACCUCGGGAAACUGAGAAUAAUGCCCGAUAGAACACUAUACCUGGAAUGGUUUGUGUUCCAAAUGAUUUAUCGCCGUAGGAUGGGACUGCGGCCUAUCAGUUUGUUGGUGAGGUAAUGGCCCACCAAGACUAUUACAGGUACGGGCUCUGAGAGGAGUAGCCCGGAGAUGGGUACUGAGACACGGACCCAGGCCCUAUGGGGCGCAGCAGGCGAGAAAACUUUGCAAUGUGCGAAAGCACGACAAGGUUAAUCCGAGUGGUUUCUGCUAAAGGAACCUUUUGUCGGUCCUAGAAACACCGAUGAAUAAGGGGUGGGCAAGUUCUGGUGU
rnacentral:rRNA from 1 species